UACGUAGGGGGCAAGCGUUGUCCGGAAUUAUUGGGCGUAAAGAGCGCGUAGGCGGUCCGAUAAGUCGGCUGUGAAAGUCAAGGGCUCAACCCUUGAAAGCCGGCCGAUACUGUCGGACUAGAGUCCGGAAGAGGCGAGUGGAAUUCCUGGUGUAGCGGUGAAAUGCGCAGAUAUCAGGAGGAACACCAAUGGCGAAGGCAGCUCGCUGGGACGUGACUGACGCUGAGACGCGAAAGCGUGGGGAGCAAACAGG
rnacentral:rRNA from 1 species